GAUGAACGCUGGCGGCGUGCUUAAUACAUGCAAGUCGAGCGGACGGACGAGGAUCUUGCGGCGUGGAUGUGAGCGGCGGGCGGGAGUGACACGCGUGUAAAAUCCACCUGUAUGUGGGGGAUAAUCUGGAAAAAGGGGCUCUAACAGGAUAGAAGAUUCUGAAGCGUGGUGUGGGUAGGUGAGAUACGGUGGUUGGGGAUCGUCUAGAGGCAUCCGCGCUGCAUGAGAUGGUUGUUAGGGUAACGGGCUACCAAGGCAACGAUGCAUGGGCGAACGGAGAGGCUGAUAGGCCACACUGGAACUGAGACACGGUCAAGAGUCCUACGGGAGGCCGCAGUAGGGAAUGUUCGGCAAUGGGCGAAAGCAUGACGGAGCAAGGCCGAGUGAGUGAUGAAGGUCUUCGGAUCGUAAAACUCUGUUAUUAGGGAAGAACAUAUGUGUAAGUAGAUGUGCCCAUCUUGACGGUACCUAAUAAGAAAGCACCGGCUAACUACGUG
rnacentral:rRNA from 1 species